UGGAGAAAAAAAUCUCGUCUUCCACUUUUUUUUUGGCGCCAGUAUUUAUCUUUGUGCCUGCAAAGCAUGCCUGUGUAGCGCUACAUAUAUUCCACAGCAGAAGUUAGUUGUGGCGGCACCUACAAACAUUUUUCAGAACUUCCGCUUACUUUGCACUCGAUUCUAAGCCGCAGGCGGUUUUUUGGAUUACAAAAACCGGAAAAAAAGUGCGGCUUAGAUUCGAGUAAAUACGGUACACAGAUCUUCAAGUAGAGGUGGUUUGUUUAUCUCCAAUUUUUACGUCUGACAGGAAUUAUGCCAAAGUUGUUGAUCGGUUACAAAGAAAACUUAAAGGGUAAUGCUCACACUCUGAAUAAGCUACGAGAGGGGCUAAUGACACUGUGCCUCAUCUAGGAAGAUACCUGUUAGUUUCAUGUGCACUCAUUGUUAUGAAUAUGGAAGAGAUGGGAAAGUUUUUACAGGGAACAAGAAAAGGAUAAUGAGAAGAAAGAGAAUUUAGGUAGCUGGUACCAAAAGAAAUGGGUCACACUGCAAAAUGAGUAAUUAUUUAAUAUAUAUAAAUGUGUGUAUGAAUGUGAUAGUGUUAAUUGUGUGAAUAUAAAGAAGUUAUAGUACGUAAAAUGUUGUAAAAUGAAGUUGAAGACUGCCAAAGGAGAGGAAGGGAGGGGGUCAGAUUGUACAUUGAAGAAUGCAAGUAACAGAUAUGAACGCCAAAUGCAAGUGUUCAAGACAUAAUUACACAUGAUAACAGUUUAUCUGAAACUCAUUCCAUGAACAUUUCUUCAGAAACAACU